rnacentral:rRNA from 1 species
UACGGGGGGAGCAAGCGUUGUUCGGAUUUACUGGGCGUAAAGGGCGCGUAGGCGGCGCAACAAGUCACUUGUGAAAUCUCCGGGCUUAACCCGGAGCGGUCAAGUGAUACUGUCGUGCUAGAGUGCGGAAGGGGCUACUGGAAUUCUCGGUGUAGCGGUGAAAUGCGUAGAUAUCUGGAGGAAUACCGGUGGCGAAGGCGGCAUCCUGGACCGACAUUGACGCUGAGGAGCGAAAGCUAGGGGAGCAAACGGG